rnacentral:ncRNA from 1 species
GGCCAAGUUUUUAAGGGCGCACGGUGGAUGCCUUGGCACCAGGAACCGAUGAAGGACGUGGGAGGCCACGAUAGUCCCCGGGGAGUCGUCAACCAGGCUUUGAUCCGGGGGUUUCCGAAUGGGGAAACCCGGCAGUCGUCAUGGGCUGUCACCCAUACCUGAACACAUAGGGUAUGUGGAGGGAACGCGGGGAAGUGAAACAUCUCAGUACCCGCAGGAAGAGAAAACAACCGUGAUUCCGGGAGUAGUGGCGAGCGAAACUGGAUGAGGCCAAACCGUAUGUGUGUGAUACCCGGCAGGGGUUGCGCAUGCGGGGUUGUGGGAUCUCUCUUCCACGGUCUGCCGGCCGUGGGACGAGUCAGAAACCGUUGAUGUAGGCGAAGGACAUGCGAAAGGUCCGGCGUAGAGGGUAAGACCCCCGUAGUCGAAACAUCAGCGGCUCGUUUGAGAGACACCCAAGUAGCACGGGGCCCGAGAAAUCCCGUGUGAAUCUGGCGGGACCACCCGCUAAGCCUAAAUAUUCCCUGGUGACCGAUAGCGGAUAGUACCGUGAGGGAAUGGUGAAAAGUACCGCGGGAGCGGAGUGAAAUAGUACCUGAAACCGUGUGCCUACAAGCCGUGGGAGCGUCGCGCAUCGAGCUUGCUCGGUGCGUCGUGACUGCGUGCCUUUUGAAGAAUGAGCCUGCGAGUUA